rnacentral:lncRNA from 1 species
CAAUUUUACCUGCCACCCCCCAGUAUUUUUUAAAGACUAAUAUACCCCUCUGUAAAACAGUAUAACAUUAUUCUAAAAAUUACCAUUCAGAUUUCACACCCCACCACUUUCGAAAAUUUAGAAAAAAAAUGUUGGAUUCGAAAGUUUAAAAGUUUCNNNNNNNNNNNNNNNNNNNNNNNNNNNNNNNNNNNNNNNNNNNNNNNNNNNNNNNNNNNNNNNNNNNNNNNNNNNNNNNNNNNNNNNNNNNNNNNNNNNNNNNNNNNNNNNNNNNNNNNNNNNNNNNNNNNNNNNNNNNNNNNNNNNNNNNNNNNNNNNNNNNNNNNNNNNNNNNNNNNNNNNNNNNNNNNNNNNNNNNNNNAUUUGCUUGCAUUUGAAAGUUUCGAAAUAGAGUAAUGCUUCGAAAAUUUGGCAUUUCACGAAACUUUCGAAAUGGAGUUUCGAAACUUACAAAUCUUUGAAAUGCAAUUUGGUCUUCGGAAGUUUGGAUUUUCACAAAAGUUUCGAAAGUUUUAUUCGAAUGUUUAAGACUUUCGAAAUGUAAUUUAAGUUUCAAACAUUUUCAAUAAGUGAAAGUUUCGAAAUGUAUUUUAUUUUUUUUUUAAAUUCAAUAUUUAUGUUAGAAAUUAUUUUUAAUUUUUUUUUAAAUUCAAUAUUUANNNNNNNNNNNNNNNNNNNNNNNNNNNNNNNNNNNNNNNNNGUUUCUGCUUCAAAAAAUGUUAUAGAUUCUACAGAAAAAUUCACCACUGAUCAGGAAUUAUUAUUACUACUGAUUCAUCACCGAUUAAAUUUUUAUUAUAGCGAUAUAGUUAAUGUUUUAUUUGAAACGUAUUUUGUAGGUAUUUUCUUCUCGAGAAGCUGUAUUUGAAUGGGCAAAAGUGAUUGGAAGACAAAAUGGAAUUUUAAUUGUUACCAUUCGAUCAGAUAAAGCAAACGGAAUUAAGGGAAGAAAAGACAAAUUGAUUUUGGGAUGCGAAAGAGGUGGAAGAUAUAAAUCAGAAUCAAAAAAAUCAGUAACUUGCUCUCAUAAGGAAAACUGUCCAUUUACUCUCAGAUGUAUACCAUUAAGUGUCGGUGAAGGAUGGAAAAUUAGUGCUCGUUGUGGGACACACAAUCAUGAAUUACUUGAUACUGUAACCGGUCAUUCCUAUUUGGGGCGUUUAAACGAAGAAGAGAGGAAAUUUGUCAAUGAUAUGACAAAGUAUAAGCUUGCACCCAGAUUCAUUCUAAAUGCUUUGAAAGUGAGAAAUGAAACCAAUGUCACUAUUCCCAGUCAAAUAUAUAAAGCAAGGAGUACUUAUCGAUCAUCAUUGAGAGGUCCGUACACAGAAAUGCAGCAUCUGUUGAAGUUAAUACAACAAGAAAAUUAUGUGCAUUGGACAAGAAGACGGGAAAAUUCUGAUAUUUUGAGAGAUAUUUUUUGGACGCAUCCUGAUUGUAUAAAGUUGUUAAACACAUUUCAUUUUGUUUUGAUAUGUGAUAGCACAUACAAAACAAACAGAUAUCGGUUACCAUUACUUGAAAUAGUCGGUGUCACUUCUACUAGUUUGACAUUUUCAGUUGGGUUUGCUUAUUUGGAAAAAGAGCGACAAGAUAACUUCAUCUGGGCAUUUGAGAAGGUACGAAUGUUGUUCAAAUCUGAGUCUUUGAUUUCUAAAGUUAUUGUGACUGAUAGAGAUCUUGCCAUGAUGAAUGCGAUUAGUGUUGUGUUUCCUACUUCAAUACAUUUGCUAUGUCGUUUUCAUAUUGAAAAAAAUGUUGGGGCAAGAUGCAAACAAUAUGUCAAAAAGGAUAGACAAGAAGAAGUAAUGGAUUUAUGGAAAAAGAUUGUCUAUUCGACUAGUGUGGAAGAGUAUGAUCAUCAUUUGCAACAAUUUGAGCUAUUGUGUGCCGAUAUUAUUCUUUUUGUUGAUUAUGUGAAAGAUUCAUGGUUAACACCUUACAAAGAAAGGUUUGUCAACGUUUGGACCAAUAGAGUGAUGCAUUUGGGGAACACAACAUCUAACAGGUAUUUUUAAAAUAUGAAUUGUGUUGUUUUAGCAAACAUGAUUUACUAGUUUAUGUGAUUUGUUUUAAUUUGUGUUAUUUAAUUUAUUUGUAGAGUUGAGUCUGCUCAUUGGAGAUUGAAAAACAUGCUUCAAACUAGUUUUGGUGAUUUGUGUAAAAGUUGGGAUGCAGUGAAUAUGAUGUUGAAGAACCAAAUAUGUAUCAUUCAGUCUUCUUUUCAGAAAACCAUCAAGGAUGUUGAGCACGGGUAUAAUUCACAAUUUUUUCAAAAUCUACAUCACUGUGUAUCAAGAAAAGGUAUGAAAUUAAUUGAUAACCAGUUGGAAAGGGUGAAGAUUGUAGGCACUAACAAAACAGAAUGUGGUUGUUCAAUUAGAACAACUCAUGGAUUACCAUGUGCUUGUGAGUUGGCUAAGUUGCAGAUAAAUGGUAAUGCUAUCCCUUUAGAUAGCAUUCAUGAUUUUUGGAAACAGUUAAGCAUUGCACAUGAAUUAGAGGAUGAAGAAUCUUUAUCAGAUUAUGACUUUUCUGAAGAGUUGGAAGCAAUGAAAGCGUACAUGAAGACACACGAUAUUAUAAGUCAAAGGAUAUUCAAGGCAAAGGUGCGUGAAGUUGUAUUUCCACAUACCACAUCAAUACUUGCACCACCAGAGAAAGUGAGAACCAAAGGAGCUGGUAAAAAGAAAAAAGAAUUUGAUACUCCUCGUGAUCCUUCAUAUUGGGAGUAUGUUGAUGCCUCUCAAGAAUCUGCAAAGGCAAGGCAACCAUCUCAAUCAUCUCAACGUUCUGCAAGGCAACAAUCUCAAUCAUCUCAACAUUCUUUUAAGACACAAUUUCCUACUUAUAUACGUCCGUAUAUUGAGGACAUAGUAGAUGUUGUGGCUGAUGGAAAUUGUGGGUUUCGUGCAAUUGCAGCAUUGCUAGGUUGGACCGAAGAAUCUUGGGCUUUAGUUCGAUCACAAUUGGAUAAAGAGAUUGGUCUACAUAAAGAUGUUUAUUCUAAUGUUUUUGAUGACAAUGUUGAAUCAGUGCGGAACUCAUUGAAAAUAUCAAAAUUGGGUGCUCAAGGAAAAGAUAAGUGGAUGUCUUUACCAGACUUGGGUUACGUGAUAGCAACACUAUAUAAUGUCAUAUUGGUGUCGUUGUCUCGUAAUCUGAAUAUGACAUUUUUCCCGCUAAACAAAUCACCAUCGAAAGAGACCUUUGGGCAGUCUUUACUAGCAAUUGGAUUUGUUAACGAGAAUCAUUGGGUACAGGUAAAAUUAAUGCUUGAUGUUGUUUAUUAAAUUAAUCCUAAAAAAUUUAUUAUUCAGAUAAAUUAAUUUGUAACAUUUUUUUUAUUCAGAUCAAAUUGAAGUCUGAUUGUCCUUUGCCACCUACGUCACAAAAAUGGAAAGACUUUUGUAGUGACACAGCAAAGAGUUGGGAAGUAGCUUAUGCAGCACGUAUGAAGCAUUGGGAACGCAUUGAUCCAUCAUUUAUCAGAUCAUCUUGUAUUUCAUUAAAUGAAGAUUAGAAUAUGUUGUGUAUCACUGUUUAUGGAUUAUUAUAAUAUCUUGUUUUAUCAUUUCCAGUAUCUUUUAUUAUGAAUUAACUUAAAAUAAAUGCGGAUUAACAUAACACAUAACACAAUCACUAAACAUAUCACAUAAUCCCAAAAUAUCUCAAAUUACAGUACAUAACACAUAACACCAAAUAUAUCAAAUUACUAAACAUCGUACAUAAGACAUAACGCACUUAAAAUCUCAUAAAUUUCACUAAACGGCUCUACCAAGUUAAUGCCUCUACGUACAAGCUCAGUUGUUCUACGAUCUCGGUCAGAAGAUGACGGACCAGCAUGUGCAGCAAAGGAGGUACCCACAUGUGCAGCAGAUGAUGGAUGGUCAGAGGAUGUACCCGCAUGUGCAGUAGUCCGAGGAAUGAUCAGAGGAUGUGACACAGACAUGUACCAUGCAUAAUAGUCCUCAGUGACCUCUCCAGGAAAACUCGCAACAUGAUAUAGCCUCUGAAACACCGAUACAGAUGACUGCAUAGUAGUCUGCCACACCCAAUCUAUGUUGGCGGGCAUGGGAGGAACAUCAGGCGGGAUGCACUGAAUACGACUAAAUUGUCGAAGACAUCGCUCCGGUAAAUAUGGGACUGAGACUCCACCACAUCGAAGAUAACCAGAGAACAUCGAAAUAUCUUCAAACGGAUAAUUAGCGCGAUCAUCAUCAUAUGGUGUAAACAGUACAUCCUCAAGCAACAAAGCAUCAAGUCUCUGUCGAUAGGUCACUAAUCCACCUUCAACAGCAUGUUUUGCAAUCCACCUACAUGCUCUUGGAAGAUGUGCAGGAACCGCACCUCUAUCGCCCCGCUUACAGAUCCUAGGGAAGUGUUCGUAGAUCCAGCACUGCAACAUAAGUAACAUAAUACAACUUAAUUUAAAUACAUAAGUAAAAUAAUACAACUUAAUAAAUAAAAUAAUUAAAUAAAUGUCAAUACCUGUAAAAGGGUCAUGUAACCUCCCAACUGUCGAGUGUCGUGGACAGCCCCAUCUCCCAUGUUAUCAUAAAGGAAAACCAAUGUCGCGGCAGCCCACGAAUAGUGUCGACAACGAUCUAAAUCAAUAAAUAAACUAAUGUAUUUCGCCUCCACACGCGUAUGCGUUUUAUCGGCGAAAAUUGUGAUGCCAACUAAGUGCAAUAGAUACGCUCUAGCCGCACACUCAAACUGAUUAGUUUGAAUGAGACGACUAUAUAAGUCACGCAGCCACUGCAAUCUAUAUUGGGCACAUUUAUUAAAAUUAAUUUCAGCUAGAGAUUCCUCCCAAGUUGCACCUAAGUACUCAUGUGCAGCUCUAGCAGCAUUAUUAGUACUCAUAUUCACAGGUGCAUCAAAAAAUUUACCAUUCGGUGAUAUGUGAAGGAGAGUAGCUACGUCGUCUAAAGUAAUGGUCAUCUCUCCAAAUGGCAAAUGAAAUGAGCUGGUCUCCCUGUGCCAUCUUUCAAUAAAUGCCGAGACGAGACCAGCAUCAACCAUAGUGAGGUAGGCCGAAGAAAGAGGUAGCAGCCCAGAUUCCCGAAUCCAACGCUCUACAGGAUGUGGCACAGGAACUUCAGAAAACUUCUUCAACUUCAAUCCAUGAGUAAUGACCUUUAACGGUCCACGAUCCUGCGAGUAAUUACAAAGUAAUUAAUUAAUUAAAUAACAUUAAAUAAAUAACAUUAAACAAAUAAUUGAAUCAACUUAAACAAAUAAUUGAAUAAAUAAAUUUAAAUAAACAAUUAAUUAAAUAAAUAAUUCAAUAAAUAUAUUUAAAUAAACAAUUAAUUAAAUCAACUUAAACAACUAAUUGAAUAAAUAAAUUUAAAUAAACAACAAAUUAAAUAAACUUAAUUAAAUAACCUUAAAUUAAUAAUUGAAUAAAUAAAUUUAAAUAAACAAUUAAUUAAAUAGAUAAAUAAUUCAAUAAAUAUAUUUAACUCAACAAAUAAUUAAAUCAACUUAAAUAAAUAUUUGAAUAAAUAAAUUUAAAUAAAUUUAACUAAACAAUUAAUUAUAUAUAAAUUUAACUAAACAAUUAAUUAUAUAUAAAUUUAACUAAACAAUUAAUUAUAUAUAAAUUUAACUAAACAAUUAAUUAUAUAUAAAUUUAACUAAACAAUUAAUUAUAUAUAAAUAUUUCAAUAAACACUUUAAUUAAAUAGACUUAAAAUGCUUCAAAUUGAAAUAUACCUCUCCUUCCCAUAGCCGCCGAGCCACGUGGUGCUCAUAUUGUGUCAACACAUGUCUCAACAUAGGUCCUCCGGGGAAUCCAUCAUCAUCAGCAUGUUCCAUCUGAGGCUCAGGGACAUCCUCCUCCAAAUGAGGCUCAGGGACAUCCUCCUCCAUCUGAGGCUCAGGGACAUCCUCCUCCAUCUGAGGCUCGCGGACAUCCUCCUCCAUCUGAGGCUCACGGACAUCAUCAUGGAUGUCUUGUCUUCGACGACGAUGCCUAAUUUGACGAUUUGCUUCGUUUCGUCGUCUAUUUGAUGCUGUUGGUGGAAUUCUCUCAACACCAUCACCACCUACAAUAUUGCGAAUAAUUUGGCCGAAAGCACCUCUCAUCCUAGGCACUGCAACAUAUAAAUAUAUAAAUAUUAAAAAAAAUUAUAAACAAUAAAAAAUCAAUGUAACAAUAUAUAAAUAAUGUUUCCCAAGAUAAUAUAUAAACAAUAUAUAAAUAAUAUUUCCCAUUUAGUUUCAAAAAAUUAUAAAUAAUAUAUAAAAGUAUGUUUCAAAAAUUUGGGUUUAUCCAAACUUUCGAAAGUAUGUUUCGAAACUUUCCCUCAACUUCGAACAUUUUCCAGGCAUUUCGAAACUUUCCCUGGCCUUGCAUUUCGAAGAUUUCAAAUUCAAGAAACUUUCGAAAGUUUCUUGUUUCGAAGAUUUCAAAAUAUUCGAGGAUUGCAUUUCGAAGAUUUCAAAUUCAAGGAACUUUCGAAAGUUUCUUGUUUCGAAGAUUUCAAAAUAUUCGAGGAUUGCAUUUCGAAGAUUUCAAAUUCAAGAAACUUUCGAAAGUUUCUUGUUUCGAAGAUUUCAAAAUAUUCGAGGAUUGCAUUUCGAAGAUUUCAAAUUCAAGAAACUUUCGAAAGUUUCUUGUUUCGAAGAUUUCAAAAUAUUCGAGGAUUGCAUUUCGAAGAUUUCAAAUUCAAGAAACUUUCGAAAGUUUCUUGUUUCGAAGAUUUCAAAAUAUUCGAGGAUUGCAUUUCGAAGAUUUCAAAUUCAAGAAACUUUCGAAAGUUUCUUGUUUCGAAGAUUUCAAAAUAUUCGAGGAUUGCAUUUCGAAGAUUUCAAAUUCAAGAAACUUUCGAAAGUUUCUUGUUUCGAAGAUUUCAAAAUAUUCGAGGAUUGCAUUUCGAAGAUUUCAAAUUCAAGAAACUUUCGAAAGUUUCUUGUUUCGAAGAUUUCAAAAUAUUCGAGGAUUGCAUUUCGAAGAUUUCAAAUUCAAGGAAACUUUCGAAACUUUCUUGUGUUUCGAAUCUUCCAAAUCUUCGAUGGAUGCAUUUCGAAAGUUUCAAAAAAUUGCAAAGUUUCGAAAAUGAACUUACUUUUGCGUUUCGAAUCUUUCAGAUCUUCGAAGGUUGGGUUGAAUUUGGAUCGGAUAUUUGAAAUUUUCGAAUGAUUUGGUGAAAAAUGUGGGUAAAUUUUUUUUUUGGUUUAUAUAUGAGAUGGAGGGUAAAAUAGUCUUUUAAUCAUGACUGGGGGUGGCAGGUAAAAUUGGGGGGGUGCCUGGUACAAAACUCCCGGUUGGAUCGUCGAUCAGAGGUUUGAUGUGGGAAACAUUGAGCUCAGACAGUAGCAGGUUUUUCUGUUGAACUUUGUUCUCAAUUUCAUACUUGUUUUCUCAUUGUUUUGGUUGAUUGUUGUGCUGGUUACCUUGCUGUUUUUGGCUGGUUACUGAGCACGAAUUUGUGCCAUAUUUGAAACUCUCUUGUACCCAUAUUUUGAUCAUAGUGGAGCUCUAUUACUGGUUUGGUCUCGUGGUUGUUUACUUCUCACAUUGAGAAGGUUUUUCCACGUUAAAAAUUAUUGUGUCAUUUGUGGUAGUGAUUUUAGUUGCUGUGAUUAUUUGUUGAUUGCUCCUCACAGAUUCUUGCAAGUUUGGGAAAUUGAUUAUCCGCUGCAUAUUGCUCUGUUAGAGUUGUUAUUAUAUUUGUUGUUGAAUUUCCCAUCAGAGUGGCAUCAGAGCUCUUUGGUUAAGGGGAUGUUUGACUUGUUUGAAUGAUGGAGGCAAAUACAAAUAGAAUGAUUUAUUUGAAUGGCACUAAUUAUCACUUAUGGAAGGGAAAAAUGAAGGAUAUGUUAUUUGUGAAGAAUUUGCAUCUUCUUGUGUUUGCUAUUGAGAAGCCAUAAUCCAAGAUUGAUGACGAUUGGAGUUUUGAACAUCAGCAGGUUUGUGGUUUUAUUCGGUAAUAUGUAGAAGACAAUGUUUAUAAUCACAUUGCUAAUGAGGAACAUGCAAGAUCCUUGUGGAAGAAGAUUGAAUCUUUGUAUGCUUCUAAAUCAGGGAAUAAUAAGUUUUAUUUGUUGAACUCCUUGAUGAAUUUGAGGUACAAGGAGGGGACUUCUAUUUCAGAUCAUUUAAAUGAUUUUCAAGGGCUCCUAGAUCAAUUGUCAGGUAUGGGUAUCAAAUUUGAUGAUGAAGUGUUGGGACUAUGGCUACUGAAUACUCUACCAGAUUCUUGGGAAACUUUUCGGGUUUCAAUUACAAACUCAGCUUCUGAUGGUGUUGUCUCUUUGCAAAGUGUAAAGGGAAGUGUUCUUAAUGAGGAGAUGAGAAGGAAGGCACAAGGUACUUCAUCUCAUUCCGAGGUACUUGUCACUGAGAACAGGGGCCGAAGUCAAAGAAAGGAACCGAAAGGGAAUAGACAGAAUAACAGAAGUGCGAGUAGAGAGAACAACAGAAGUAAGUCCAAGUCCAGAUACAAGAAUGUGGAGUGCAAUUAUUGUCACAAAAUGGGGCACAUAUAGAGGAACUGCUUCAUAUGGAAAAGGGAGAGCAAAAACAAUAACAGUAAGCAGAGAGAUAAGAAUCAUGAUGAUGAUGAUCGUGUUACUAUUGCUACUUGUGAUGAUCUGAUUAUUCUCCGUGACUAUGACUCAGUCAAUCUUGUAUCAAAUGAGAGCAUGUGGAUUGUUGAUAGUGGUGAUACACUGCAUGUUACACCAAGGAAGGAGUUCUUCACAUCUUACACUUCUGGUGACUUUGGAGUGUUGAAGAUGGGUAAUGAUGGUGUGUCCAAGGUAGUUGGUAUUGGUGAUGUUUAUUUGCAGACCAACAUGGGAGUGCAGUUGUUGCUUAGAGGAGUCAAACAUGCUCCAGAUGUUCGCUUUAAUUUGAUCUCUGUGCAGAUGCUUGAUGAUGGUGGUUUUGAUAAUCACUUUGGUUCAGGAAAAUGGAAACUCACCAGAAGUAACUUAGUUGUGGCCAGAUGGGAGAAAAUUAAUAAACUGUAUUGGACUAAAGCAUUGGUUGCUAAAGACAGUGUGAAUUUCAUGGAUAUGGAGGCUUCUUUGUGGCACCGCAGGCUUAGUCAUAUUAGUGAAAAGGGGCUGAAUUGUUUAGCUAAAAAGGAUGUACUUCCGGGAUUAAAGAGUGCAGAGUUGGAGAAAUGUUCUCAUUGCAUGGCUGGUAAGCAGACUAGAGUAUCCUUCAAGAAACAUCAUCCCUCAAGAAAGUCAGAGUUGCUUGAAUUGGUGCAUUCUGAUGUUUGUGGCCCGUUGAAGGUAAAGUCAAUUAGUGGUGCACUUUACUUUAUUACUUUUAUUGAUGAUUGUUCUAGAAAGCUUUGGGUCUAUGCUUUGAAGACAAAAGACCAAGUUCUGGAGAAAUUCAAAGAGUUCCAUGUUAUGGUGGAGAGACAGUCAGGCAAGAAGUUGAAAUGCAUUCGUACUGACAAUGGUGGUGAGUAUUGUGGACCAUUUGAUGUUUAUUGCAAGCAGCACGGUAUCAGACAUGAAAAGACUCCUCCUAAAACCCCUCAGCUGAAUGGUUUAGCAGAGAGAAUGAACAGGACAUUGAUUGAAAGAGUUAGGUGUAUGCUUUCUGAAGCAAAGUUGCCUAAGCAUUUCUGGGGUGAAGCAUUGUACAUGGCAGUGCAUGUUAUUAAUCUGAGUCCUGCAGCUGCUUUGAAUGCUGAGGUGCCAGACAAGAUUUGGUUUGGCAAGAAUGUCAGGUAUGAUCAUUUGCGUGUCUUCGGUUGCAAAGCAUAUGUGCAUGUUCCAAAGGAUGAGAGAUCCAAGUUGGAUGGGAAGACAAGACAGUGCAUCUUUAUCGGUUAUGGUCAGGAUGAAUUUGGCUACAAGCUGUUUGAUCCAGUUGAGAAGAAAGCUGUUAGAAGCCGUGAUGUGAAGUUCAUGGAAGACCAAACCAUUGAAGACAUUGAUAAGAUGGAGAAGACUACACCUGAGAUUGAUAAUGGUUUGUCUGAUGUUGAUCCAGUUCGGAUGCCUACACAUGAUCUGGAUACUGCUGAAAAUAAUGUUCAGAAUGAUGAGCAACAUGGUGAUGUUGGUGAUCAGCAGCUUGGAGAUGAUUUUGAUGUUCCUAAUGAUGAUGCUGAAGAAGAACAUGAGAUGUCACAAGAUGAGGAUCUUGGUGAUGCUCCUGAACCACCUCAAGCUCAAGUUUGGAGGUCUACUAGGCAGAGGAAACCAUCCACCAGGUAUCCUUCUGAUGACUAUGUUACCUUGACUGAUGGAGGCGAACCUGAAUGUUAUGAUGAAGCCAUGGAGAGUGAUGAAAAGAAGAAGUGGUUGGAUGCUAUGCAAGAUGAAAUGAAGUCUUUGCAUGAUAAUCACACUUUUGAUUUGGUGAAACUACCUAAGGGAAAGAAGGCUUUGGAAAACAGGUGGAUCUUCAGAGUGAAGCAAGAAAACAAUUCUACAUCUUCAAGAUAUAAAGCCAGAUUAGUUGUGAAAGGUUUCAGACAGAGAAAGGGUGUUGAUUUCAAUGAGAUUUUUUCUCCUGUGGUGAAGAUGUCAUCCAUUAGAACUGUGUUGAGUUUGGCUGCUACUCUUGAUUUGGAGGUAGAGCAAAUGGAUGUAAAAACUGCUUUCCUUCAUGGUGAUUUGGAGGAAGAGAUUUACAUGAAGCAACCUGAUGGUUUUCUUGUUAAAGGCAAAGAAGACUAUGUGUGUAGGCUCAGAAAGAGUCUAUAUGGUUUGAAGCAGGCCCCGCGUCAGUGGUACAAGAAGUUUGAGUCAGUUAUGUGUGAGCAAGGCUACAGGAAGACUACUUCUGAUCACUGUGUCUUUGUUAAAAAGUUUGCUGAUGAUGAUUUCAUUAUCUUGUUAUUGUAUGUUGAUGACAUGCUUAUUGUUGGGAAAAAUAUUUCCAUGAUUAACAGGUUGAAGAAGCAAUUGGGCGAGUCAUUUGCCAUGAAAGACAUGGGAGCUGCUAAGCAGAUUCUUGGUAUAAGAAUCAUGCGUGACAGGAACAAGAAGAAACUUUGGCUGUCACAAGAACACUAUGUUGAAAGACUGUUACAGAGGUUCCAGAUGGAAUAUGCUAAGGCUGUAAGUACUCCUCUUGCUACUCAUUUUAAAUUGAGUACUAGUCAGAGUCCUACCAAUGAAGCUGAAAAAUCAGAUAUGCAACGAGUUCCUUAUGCAUCUGCUGUGGGUAGUUUAAUGUAUGCAAUGGUGUGUACAAGGCCUGAUAUUGCACAUGCUGUUGGUACAGUUAGUAGAUUUCUGUCUAAUCCAGGUAGAGAGCAUUGGAAUGCUGUGAAAUGGAUUUUGAGGUAUCUUCGUGGUACUACCAGUUUGAGGCUUUGUUUUGGAGGUGAUAAGCCUACUCUUGUGGGAUAUACUGAUUCUGAUAUGGCUGGAGACAUUGAUUCCAGAAAGUCUACUUCAGGCUACUUGAUUAAGCUUGCAGGGGGAGCUGUGGCAUGGCAAUCCAGAUUGCAGAGGUGUGUUGCAUUGUCCACUACUGAGGCAGAGUUCAUUGCCAUUACAGAAGCAUGCAAGGAAUUGUUAUGGUUGAGGAAAUUCUUGCAGGAGCUUGGUUUUGUUCAAGAUAAGUAUUUGCUAUUUUGUGAUAGUCAAAGUGCAAUUCAUCUUGGUAAGAACUCAACCUUUCAUUCUAGGUCCAAGCACAUUGAUGUUAGGUAUCAUUGGAUACGUGAUGUUUUGGAUGCUGGAUUGUUGGAAUUGGCCAAGAUUCAUACAGAUGAUAAUGGUGCUGAUAUGAUGACCAAGGCAUUACCGAGAAGCAAGUUUGAAACUUGUUGUGAGAUCGCCGGUUUGGCGGUCACCUCCACAUAGUUGUGAGGGAAGAUAUGUUGGGUUUUGGGCUCCCUUCCUAUGUGGAGAAAGACCCAAUAUGUGCAAGAAGUGCGAAAGUACUUUGUGGAUAAAAUAAUAAAGACACUUGAGCAAGUCUUCAAUACCAAAGUCUUGCUGGAGAGAAGUUAUAUUGAGUAUUGACUUUGAUUUGACAAUUAAGUUAUAUUUUGAGUGUUUACUUUGAUUUGACAAGUUUUUAUCAGGUUACUUCGCGAGAGAUGUCAUCUUCUCGUAUUUUUUCUCCUUUUUUUUUUCCUUUGAUUUUUAAGAUCCGAAUUUUUUUUUAUUGGACUCGGGUUUUUGGGGUGGCUGGUAGAGUCGCAAUUCAACGCAUAAUUUACUUACCCAUAUCACCCACGCGAAUAACAUAUUAAUUAUUUUUAUUUUUAUUAUUAUUAUUAUUAUUAUAUAAAAAUAUUUGUAUAUAUAUUUAUAUACAACACAAAAGUAUCAAUAAAAAUAUAGAUUUUAUCAUACUAAUAAUAUUUAUAUUACUAAUUUAAAUAUACAAAUAAAAGUUUAAAAAAAUUUAGCUAAAUUAACUAUUUUUAAGUUUUUAGGUGGAAUAAAAAAGUUCCAUAUAUAUAUAUAUAUAUAUAUAUAUAUAUAUAUAUAUAUACCUAUUUAAAGUUAGUAAUUAAUUUGUUAAAAGAUCAGUGUUCUAAAUUUUAUUUUGUAUUCAUUCAAAUAAUUUUAAGUUUAGUAAUUAAUUUUUGUUUUGUUUUAAUUCUAUUAAUAUUGUUAAAUCAAAUAAAUAGUUACAUAAAGAUCAAUAUAAUUUUUGGAUAAUUUAAAUUCUUUAAUUUAUUAUUUUUACAAUUUAAUAUUAAGUAACCUUGAAUAUUUUUUUAAUUGUGUUGAAAUAAUAUAGCAUUUUAUUAUUUAACAAUUUAUUUUAAUUAUAAUAUUGGUACAAGGUACGCAAAGGAUUACUAAGUACAUAAAUAAUAAAUAUACGAAGAUUAAGAUUAAUUCUCGUAUAAAUCUGGUGUAUAUGGAGUCAUGUUUUUCAUCAAUAAAUUAGAUUGACCUGUUUUUAAAUUAGAUUUAAGAUUAGAUUUUUUUACUGUAAAUUAUUUUUUUAAUUAAUAAAUUAAUAUAACAAUUUUUUUAUUAAAAUAGUUUCCGUACGAAGCACGGAUUACCUAGUAAUUUAAUAUUAUUUUUUAGAUUUCAAACUUAAUUUUUUAUUUUAAUGAAGACGAUAUAGAGUUAAUUGGCGAUACUUAAAUCCAACUUUUCCAAUUUAAAAGUUCAUCUCCAUACGAGAUUUGUAGGCCCAACCCAAAGCCCAACCCAACAUGAUCUAUAUACAUAAAAGCUCAAACAAUUAAACUGAUUCUUUUCACUUUCUCGCAAGUUCGGAAACCUUUCCUUCACUUUCUCAUCAUCCAAACACCAAAACCAUCAACAACCAUGACAACAAUCAGUCUCCGGAAGGGAAACACACGUCUUCCACCGGAAGUUAACCGCGUCCUCUACGUUCGCAACCUUCCCUUCAACAUAACAAGCGAAGAAAUGUACGAUAUAUUCGGCAAAUACGGUGCUAUUCGUCAGAUCCGAAUCGGAACUAACAAAGACACGCGCGGCACCGCUUUUGUCGUUUACGAAGACAUUUACGACGCUAAAACUGCCGUCGAUCAUCUCUCUGGUUUCAAUGUCGCUAAUCGAUAUCUCAUCGUUCUUUAUUAUCAGCAUGCUAAGAUGAGUAAGAAGUUUGAUCAGAAGAAGAAGGAAUUUCGUAAAUUUUAUUGACAUUAAAAAAAUAAGUUAACUUAAAAAAAAUUUACAAUAAAAAAAUUUAAAAAAUCUAAUUAUAACUUAACUUAAAAAUUAAUUUCUUAUAAGCUCUAUGUUAUCGAUGAAAAGUAUGACUCCAACACCAUGCCUUUUUUUUUGAAUUCUACAAAGAAUCUUUUUUCUUUCCAAAAAAUUUAUUAUAAAAUAAUAUUUUUAAUUUUAAACAAAUAAAAAUAAUAAUUAUUAAAAAAAAUUAAAUAAUUAGAUUAGAUGAAAUAAGAAUUUUUAAAACAAUGGACAUGGACAUAUAUAAAAUAAAUUAUUAUUUUUCUCUUCAAUAUUCUGGAAAUUUAAUUGGAUUCAUGGCUAAGAAGCUUAAAUAAAUUUUAUAUUUACUUAAAUAAAUUAUUAUUUUUUAUUUAAUAUAACUAUGUGCCAACACCAUUUAUUAACUAUUUAUGAGAGAAUUUAAGAGAAUAGAAAUAGAGUUAGUAAGACAAAUCUUAUAUAAGAGAAUAGAAAUAGAGUUAGUAAGAGAAAUCUUGUAUAAGAGAAUAGAAAUAUAAAUAUACAAAUGUACAAUUUGUUGACUAUUUAUUAGUGAAUUUAAAAUCGGAGUUAUUAAGACAAAUGUUAUAUAAGAGAAUAGAAAUUUACAUAUACACAUUUACAAUUUUUUGAGACAAAAUUAAGAAACAUAAACAAUACAAAAUAUAUAUACAUAACAAAAUAGUAAUCUUUUUUUAUAAAUAAAAUAAAAUAACAAUGAUAGAUUGAAAAAAAUUUACCAUUCAAGUAAUUCGUGUGAACAUAUACUCCAGAAAGUUGCUAGACGCAACACGAACAAAUACAUAGUUUCACCAGGAAUACUCUAUUGCAUAAAGGUCGAUGGAACAAUGUAGGCAAGGGAAGUCGGCAAAAUGGAUCCGUAACCUCGGGAAAAUGAUUGACUUUGACGGCUGGCUAUGGAUUUAAAGAUGUUGUUGUUAGAAAUAGAAAUAUGAAUUUAUUUAAAUAAUAAUUAGUUUUUUCUUGAUUUUGUUUGAAGAUAAUGAUGAAUUUUUUAGAUUUUUAUAAAAAAUAUAUUAUUGACAUUUUAAAAUAUACUUAUUUAAAAUUAAAUAAAUAAUUAAUUAAAAAAUAAAAAUUAUUAUUAAAAUUAAUUUAAAAAAGUGCGAAAGUACUUUGUGGAUAAAAUAAUAAAGACACUUGAGCAAGUCUUCAAUACCAAAGUCUUGCUGGAGAGAAGUUAUAUUGAGUAUUGACUUUGAUUUGACAAUUAAGUUAUAUUUUGAGUGUUUACUUUGAUUUGACAAGUUUUUAUCAGGUUACUUCGCGAGAGAUGUCAUCUUCUCGUAUUUUUUCUCCUUUUUUUUUUCCUUUGAUUUUUAAGAUCCGAAUUUUUUUUUAUUGGACUCGGGUUUUUGGGGUGGCUGGUAGAGUCGCAAUUCAACGCAUAAUUUACUUACCCAUAUCACCCACGCGAAUAACAUAUUAAUUAUUUUUAUUUUUAUUAUUAUUAUUAUUAUUAUAUAAAAAUAUUUGUAUAUAUAUUUAUAUACAACACAAAAGUAUCAAUAAAAAUAUAGAUUUUAUCAUACUAAUAAUAUUUAUAUUACUAAUUUAAAUAUACAAAUAAAAGUUUAAAAAAAUUUAGCUAAAUUAACUAUUUUUAAGUUUUUAGGUGGAAUAAAAAAGUUCCAUAUAUAUAUAUAUAUAUAUAUAUAUAUAUAUAUAUAUAUAUAUAUAUAUAGAGAGAAUCAAUAUAAUUUUUGGAUAAUUUAAAUUCUUUAAUUUAUUAUUUUUACAAUUUAAUAUUAAGUAACCUUGAAUAUUUUUUUAAUUGUGUUGAAAUAAUAUAGCAUUUUAUUAUUUAACAAUUUAUUUUAAUUAUAAUAUUGGUACAAGGUACGCAAAGGAUUACUAAGUACAUAAAUAAUAAAUAUACGAAGAUUAAGAUUAAUUCUCGUAUAAAUCUGGUGUAUAUGGAGUCAUGUUUUUCAUCAAUAAAUUAGAUUGACCUGUUUUUAAAUUAGAUUUAAGAUUAGAUUUUUUUACUGUAAAUUAUUUUUUUAAUUAAUAAAUUAAUAUAACAAUUUUUUUAUUAAAAUAGUUUCCGUACGAAGCACGGAUUACCUAGUAAUUUAAUAUUAUUUUUUAGAUUUCAAACUUAAUUUUUUAUUUUAAUGAAGACGAUAUAGAGUUAAUUGGCGAUACUUAAAUCCAACUUUUCCAAUUUAAAAGUUCAUCUCCAUACGAGAUUUGUAGGCCCAACCCAAAGCCCAACCCAACAUGAUCUAUAUACAUAAAAGCUCAAACAAUUAAACUGAUUCUUUUCACUUUCUCGCAAGUUCGGAAACCUUUCCUUCACUUUCUCAUCAUCCAAACACCAAAACCAUCAACAACCAUGACAACAAUCAGUCUCCGGAAGGGAAACACACGUCUUCCACCGGAAGUUAACCGCGUCCUCUACGUUCGCAACCUUCCCUUCAACAUAACAAGCGAAGAAAUGUACGAUAUAUUCGGCAAAUACGGUGCUAUUCGUCAGAUCCGAAUCGGAACUAACAAAGACACGCGCGGCACCGCUUUUGUCGUUUACGAAGACAUUUACGACGCUAAAACUGCCGUCGAUCAUCUCUCUGGUUUCAAUGUCGCUAAUCGAUAUCUCAUCGUUCUUUAUUAUCAGCCAAUGUCGCUAUCGAUAUCUCAUCGUUCUUUAUUAUCAGCAUGCUAAGAUGAGUAAGAAGUUUGAUCAGAAGAAGAAGGAAGAUGAAAUUGCUCGUAUGCAGGAGAAGUACGGUGUUACUACUAAAGACAAGUAGUUCAUGAUACGUAAGCGCUUCUUUCGAAAACUCGAUUUAUUUUGCUAAUUUCUAGGGUUUCUUGUGUUAGGGUUUUGUGGUAAUUCACUAUAUAUAACUGUUGAUGGAUGUUUGGAUUCGCAAUUGAAUAGUUUUAUUGAUAUAUCAAUGUAAAGCACGAUUAUGAUGUAUGAUAUUGUUACUUUUCUGCUAGCACUACUUAUUUAAGAAAAAGUGAUUAUUCAAUUUUGAGGACUGGAAUUUAAUUUUUCCUGCAUGAGAUGUUUAUUAGGUUUACUUGAUGCUAAUUUCUUCAAGGGUAAUUAGGUAGUUUCGUUGCUUUGUGAGUUUGUUGUACUAGGAUGUUUGGAUUGUGGAGAUUGCUAAGGGUGAGGUUAUUAAGACAAAUGUUAUAUAAGAGAAUAGAAAUUUACAUAUACACAUUUACAAUUUUUUGAGACAAAAUUAAGAAACAUAAACAAUACAAAAUAUAUAUACAUAACAAAAUAGUAAUCUUUUUUUAUAAAUAAAAUAAAAUAACAAUGAUAGAUUGAAAAAAAUUUACCAUUCAAGUAAUUCGUGUGAACAUAUACUCCAGAAAGUUGCUAGACGCAACACGAACAAAUACAUAGUUUCACCAGGAAUACUCUAUUGCAUAAAGGUCGAUGGAACAAUGUAGGCAAGGGAAGUCGGCAAAAUGGAUCCGUAACCUCGGGAAAAUGAUUGACUUUGACGGCUGGCUAUGGAUUUAAAGAUGUUGUUGUUAGAAAUAGAAAUAUGAAUUUAUUUAAAUAAUAAUUAGUUUUUUCUUGAUUUUGUUUGAAGAUAAUGAUGAAUUUUUUAGAUUUUUAUAAAAAAUAUAUUAUUGACAUUUUAAAAUAUACUUAUUUAAAAUUAAAUAAAUAAUUAAUUAAAAAAUAAAAAUUAUUAUUAAAAUUAAUUUAAAAAAGUGCGAAAGUACUUUGUGGAUAAAAUAAUAAAGACACUUGAGCAAGUCUUCAAUACCAAAGUCUUGCUGGAGAGAAGUUAUAUUGAGUAUUGACUUUGAUUUGACAAUUAAGUUAUAUUUUGAGUGUUUACUUUGAUUUGACAAGUUUUUAUCAGGUUACUUCGCGAGAGAUGUCAUCUUCUCGUAUUUU